rnacentral:rRNA from 1 species
GACGAACGCUGGCGGCGUGCUUAACACAUGCAAGUCGAGCGGAGCGUCGAACGGGUGAGUAACGCGUGAGUAACUGCCCUCCUCUCUGGGAUAACCGUUGGAAACGGCUGCUAAUACCGGAUAGUGGGGGAUGAUUCGCGUCCUAUCAGCUUGAUGGUGGGGUAGUGGCCUACCAAGGCGACGAAGGGUAGCCGGACUGAGAGGGCGACCGGCCACAUAGGGCUGAGGUACAGGCCAAACUCAUACGGGAGGAAGGAAUGGGGAAUAGUGCACGAUGGGGGAAACCAUGAUGCAGCAACGCCGGGUGCGAGAGGACGGCCUUCGGGUUGUAAACCGCUUUCAGCCAUGACGCGGUAGUGGAAGAAGAAGCACCGGCUAACUACGUGCCAGCAGCCGCGGUAAUUC